rnacentral:rRNA from 1 species
UACGGGGGGGGCAAGCGUUGUUCGGAAUUACUGGGCGUAAAGGGCGCGUAGGCGGAUUGUUAAGUCGGGGGUGAAAUCCUGGAGCUCAACUCCAGAACUGCCUUCGAUACUGGCGAUCUUGAGUCCGAGAGAGGUGAGUGGAACUCCGAGUGUAGAGGUGAAAUUCGUAGAUAUUCGGAAGAACACCAGUGGCGAAGGCGGCUCACUGGCCCGGUACUGACGCUGAGGUGCGAAAGCGUGGGGAGCAAACAGGG